ACAUUUUGGGGAAAAAUAAAGUUAACUCACUUCUUACCAUAGACCAACAUUAAUUCUGGUGCAUUAAAGAAAUAAACUAAAUAAAUAAGUAGAUUAUGAAGAAAAUAAGAGAUUAACAGACACUUUAUAGUUUUUCUCGAGAUUUGGACUUUCUGAACAUAAAAGCUAUGGGAGAAAUCACAAUGGAAUAGAUUGGUAUAUUUGCGACAUGAUGCUAGUUACUUUAACUUAUUGAGUGGUUGGUGUGUUGUGCCAGGUAUCAUUGGUGGUGUGCCAGGCAUCAUGCUAUAUGCUUUCUAUAUGUCUUAAUUUGAUGAAAUCUCAUCAUCCCCCAUAAGCUAUUAAGAUGCUCAUCUUAUAGAGAAGAAAACUAAGGCAGAAAAAAGUUAAAGUAAUUUGAUGAAAAUCACACAUCACAGAGAUGUCAGAGCCAAGAGUCAAAUGCAUCAUAGAGGCCAGAGUCUCUGUUCUUCACUACUGUGCUCUUUAAUCUGCUAUAAAAACACACAAAACAUCUGCACAUCAAAAAUAAAAUGGAAUAAAAGCCAUAAAGUAAAAGGCAAAUAACAAAUUGAGAAAAAUAUUUUCAACAAAUAUCACCACAAAUGUAUAUCCUUUAUAUUAGCUCCUCCUCUUGUGACCCCACCUUCUUACUUCAUUUGUCAUUGUAUAAAGAAUACUUCCUGAGUGUGCGUGUGAAUGUGUGUUUGUGUAAUCGCUUUAUAAAUCAACAAAAAUACUCAAAUGGAAACUAAAUGGGCAAUAACAUGAUCAGAAACUUCAUUAAAAAAUAAAUGGACUCAAACAAAUAUAUAUACAAUCUUACUAGUAACCAAAUAAUAUCUAAAUAAAUCAUCAUGUUAUUUCCCACCAAAUCAGAAAAUAUUCACUUGUGUAUUAGUACAAGUUUUCUGGAAGCAAUUAGCCUACAUAUAUCAAGAAUAUUUUAAAAGUUGGAAAUAAAAGACUUUUUCAGAUCUAUCAAUUCUGCUAUUGGCUGCCUCUUCUAUGGAAAUUUUCUGAGAGUUGUAUAAGAGUAAAUUCAUAGAAGUAACAUUAAUAGAAGUAACAUUAAGAGAAGCAAGUUUCUCAGAAUAAACUAAACGUACAAUCAGGGAUAGGUAAGUCAGUCCUGUGAUACCCAUAGCAUAAGUUUCUGAAAAAACACAUUUUCAUGUAAUAUUUAAUAAUGUGGGAAAAUGUCCCUGAUAGAAAAUCAGUUGAAAUAUAGUAAUAGUCAUCCUAUAGAGGUGAGAUAGAUAUUUUAAGGAGGUCUCAUAACAGACAAAAUAAGCUUUCAGUUUCUGCCAUUCCCAGUCUAUACCUAAAACUCUCAAAACAAAAUCACUUUGAGUGGCUGAUACAGUGUGGGCCGGCUUCCCUUUGUGCCUUUCAUUCUCAGCUAAUUCAUUUGAAUCCCACGUUAAGCUUUGGAGAAGUCAAAGGAACGAGACGGAAAAUGGAAAGAUGAAGCUCUCUGUCCCACCCUAGACCAAGUCUCUCCGAUCCUUUCUCUCCAUUCUCAUUGUUACUGAGAAUGCCUCUUGCAUUGUGGCCACAAGCCCUUAGUUAAUGUCCUCCUCCCUCCUCCCUCUGUUUUAGGUAGAUAUUUUUUGAAGACUUUUUCUCCUAGUCCUGGAUCUCCUUGAAAACAGCUUCCUGAGCAUUGCCCUAAAUGGAAAGUAAAAGUAAAAGAAUGCUUAAAAUUUUUACCAGGACCUUGUUGCUAAGCAACCAUUUUCUUUGUCUCUAAGUAUAUGAAAUAUGACAUUGUUUGGAAUGUGCUCAAUACAAAGGAUCAAGGUUGGGGAGCAGGGAGGAGGUAAGGGAGGAGGUGGUAGUAAAGAAACCUUUAGACUGAAAAAUGUAAAGAUACAAUAUGAAAGGAGAAAAAAAACAACAAAAGAACCCACCAUGGAAGUUUCAACCCACCACCACCACAUGGUGCCAAAAACUUCAAAAUGGAACAUUUCUUAUAUUGGCACAUAUUUUUGUGAGAACAAACAUAUGGUUGUGAGCAUAUUCUUACCUUCAUUGUGAUCUGCAUAUUUCCUCUCUGCAGGAAAAUUUAAAUGCACUGUUGACAUCGUUUUAUAGUCACAUAAGAAGAAAGCAGGCAAAGAAAUGUUAUGAUUGGACUUAUUCAUGAGAUACCACAGUCUCUAAUAUAUGAAGUUUUUCAUAUUUACACUACUGGUGAAUCUCUAGUUGUAUACCUGCCUCUGUGGUCUCAUUGUUGGUCCCUAGGAUAGCUUAUAAAUAAAAACAGAUGAUACUGUCUACUGGCCAGAACAAGCUCACAACUCACUUUCUACUCCAUUCUCAAGUGUAAGUAUCAUUUUUACUUGGUUGAGGGCAAGAACCCUAAUUGGGCAGCUUUUACUAAGGAAUGAAAAAAACUUUAGCAGAAUAUAAAUAAGCCUAGACAGACGGAGACUUUUUGUUUCUCUUGCCAAGUGGGCAGCUCUGGUGAAAAUUUUUUUUCAUCAUUAGGAUCACACACAAUCCAAAAAUUUGGUAUAGUUAGGGAGACUGGGAUGGAGAAGUCCAUUUAGCUUUCUAUGUUU
rnacentral:lncRNA from 1 species